rnacentral:rRNA from 1 species
GAUGAACGCUGGUGGCGUGCCUAAUACAUGCAAGUCGAGCGAACAGAUAAGGAGCUUGCUCCUUUGACGUUAGCGGCGGACGGGUGAGUAACACGUGGGUAACCUACCUAUAAGACUGGGAUAACUUCGGGAAACCGGAGCUAAUACCGGAUAACAUUUGGAACCGCAUGGUUCUAAAGUGAAAGAUGGUUUUGCUAUCACUUAUAGAUGGACCCGCGCCGUAUUAGCUAGUUGGUAAGGUAACGGCUUACCAAGGCGACGAUACGUAGCCGACCUGAGAGGGUGAUCGGCCACACUGGAACUGAGACACGGUCCAGACUCCUACGGGAGGCAGCAGUAGGGAAUCUUCCGCAAUGGGCGAAAGCCUGACGGAGCAACGCCGCGUGAGUGAUGAAGGGUUUCGGCUCGUAAAACUCUGUUAUUAGGGAAGAACAAAUGUGUAAGUAACUGUGCACGUCUUGACGGUACCUAAUCAGAAAGCCACGGCUAACUACGUG